GUAGGCUACGGAGACAUGUGUCCCAUUACCGUGGGGGGUAAGAUGGUGGGCACCUUGUGUGCCAUUGCAGGUGUGCUGACUAUUGCCUUGCCUGUUCCCGUCAUUGUUUCCAAC
rfam:Oreochromis niloticus linkage group LG20, whole genome shotgun sequence.